UACGAAGGGGGCUAGCGUUGCUCGGAUUGACUGGGCGUAAAGGGCGCGUAGGCGGUUCGUACAGUCAGACGUGAAAUUCCUGGGCUCAACCUGGGGGCUGCGUUUGAUACGUGCGGACUUGAGUGCGGAAGAGGGUCGUGGAAUUCCCAGUGUAGAGGUGAAAUUCGUAGAUAUUGGGAAGAACACCGGUGGCGAAGGCGGCGAUCUGGGUAGAUACUGACGCUGAGGUGCGAAAGCGUGGGGAGCAAACGGG
rnacentral:rRNA from 1 species